rnacentral:tRNA from 1 species
GCUGGCGUAGCUUAAACUAAAAGCAUGUCACUGAAGAUGACAAGAUAGGCCGUAGAACGCCCCGGCAGCA